AUUGAACGCUGGCGGCAUGCCUUACACAUGCAAGUCGAACGGCAGCGGGGGAGAAGCUUGCUUUUCCUGCCGGCGAGUGGCGAACGGGUGAGUAAUACAUCGGAACGUGCCCUGUAGUGGGGGAUAACUAGUCGAAAGAUUAGCUAAUACCGCAUACGACCUGAGGGUGAAAGUGGGGGACCGCAAGGCCUCAUGCUAUAGGAGCGGCCGAUGUCUGAUUAGCUAGUUGGUGGGGUAAAGGCCUACCAAGGCGACGAUCAGUAGCUGGUCUGAGAGGACGAUCAGCCAAACGGGGACUGAGACACGGCCCAGACUCCGACGGGAGGCAGCAGUGGGGAAUUUUGGACAAGGGGCGAAAGCCUGAUCCAGCAAUGCCGCGUGUGUGAAGAAGGCCUUCGGGUUGUAAAGCACUUUUGUCCGGAAAGAAAUGGCUCUGGUUAAUACCUGGGGUCGAUGACGGUACCGGAAGAAUAAGGACCGGCUAACUACGUGCCAGCCGCCGCCGUAA
rnacentral:rRNA from 1 species